GUACAAAACUCUGGAGAGACCGCCUGCGUACGCUGAGACAGCGGGGCAGAACCGGCGCCGAAGGGGCACGAAGCGAGCGCGGACAGGAGCGGCCCCCGGGCCACCCCUCCCCUAGCUGCCUGACCGCAGCACGCUUUUAAACUCUCAGGCAAAAGGACAGAGGGGCGCCU
rnacentral:ncRNA from 1 species